GAGGGCCCAGCAGCGGCGUU
rnacentral:misc_RNA from 1 species